rnacentral:rRNA from 1 species
AAGCGUUGUCCGGAUUUAUUGGGCGUAAAGAGCGUGUAGGCUGUUUGGUAGGUCCGUUGUGAAAACUCGAGGCUCAACCUCGAGACGCCGAUGGAAACCAUAAGACUAGAGUCCGGAAGAGGAGAGUGGAAUUCCUGGUGUAGCGGUGAAAUGCGCAGAUAUCAGGAAGAACACCCGUGGCUAAGGCGGCUCUCUAGUACGGUACUGACGCUGAGACGCGAAAGCGUGGGGAGCGAACAGG